rnacentral:ncRNA from 1 species
GAGAAUUUGGAAGGUUUUUUUUUUUGUUUUUUAUUGAUUUUCCAGGAAGUUUUUCCCGGGAGGAUUUGGUAGUGGGGUUGAAGGGCCUAACUAUAAGUUGGGUUGAUAUUUUUCCUCGGACCUUGAAAAUUUAUGGUGGGGAUACGCAAACUUCUCAACAGGCCGUACCAAUAUCCGCAGCUGGUCUCCAAGGUGAAGAGUCUCUAGUCGAUAGAAUAAUGUAGGUAAGGGAAGUCGGCAAAUUAGAUCCGUAACUUCGGGAUAAGGAUUGGCUCUGAAGAUUGAGAUAGUCGGGCUUGAUUGGGAAACAAUAAUAUGGUUUAUGUGCUCGUUCUGGGUAAAUAGAGUUUCGAUCAUUUAUGGUUGUAACUUGUUCCCCGGAUAGUUAGUUACGUAUCCAAUUGUGGAACUUUCUUGCUAAAAUUUUUAAGAAUACUAGUUGGGUCAAACCAAUUAGUUCUUAUUAAUUAUAACGAUUAUCAAUUAACAAUCAAUUCAGAACUGGCACGGACUUGGGGAAUCCGACUGUCUAAUUAAAACAAAGCAUUGUGAUGGCCCUAGCGGGUGUUGACACAAUGUGAUUUCUGCCCAGUGCUCUGAAUGUCAAAGUGAAGAAAUUCAAGUAAGCGCGGGUCAACGGCGGGAGUAACUAUGACUCUCUUAAGGUAGCCAAAAUGGCCUCGGUCAUCUACUUAGUGACGGGCAUGAAUGGCUUAACGACGGACGUGUUUUGGAGUGCUCCGUAAUUAAAGUCAUUUUUCUCCGGUAAUUCGGUGUCGCAGACGU